CACGUAGGCGGUCCUGUAAGUCAGAUGUGAAAGCCCGGGGCUUAACCCCGGAAGUGCAUUUGAAACUAUGGGACUUGAGUAUGGGAGAGGGAAGUGGAAUUCCUGGUGUAGAGGUGAAAUUCGUAGAUAUCAGGAGGAACACCGGUGGCGAAGGCGACUUCCUGGACCAAUACUGACGCUGAGGCGCGAAGGCGUGGGGAGCAAACAGGAUUAGAUACCCUGGUAGUCC
rnacentral:rRNA from 1 species